AUCGAGUUGUGAACCACUAUGUGAGUGCCAGGACUGAACCUUGGUCCUCUGGGAGAACAGCAACUGCUUUUAACCACUGAGCCAUCUCUUCAGCCCCAAUUUCCCCUUGAUCUGAAGAAGAAAGAGCCAGGUCUCUAACAGUCGCCAACAGAUCCUGCAAUGAUUUGCAAGGGAAGCGCCGGGAAGAAGAGCGACAAGGCCCACAAUAGCCACAUAAACAUGAGUGUGCCACAACCUAGCUUUUCUGAACACUGCCAGGUUCCCAGAGUGCUGGAAAAAUCUCUUUUCAUUAGGCUCAACUAGGCAGUUUCUCUCUUCAAAUACCUCCCUCUUUGAUUCCAAGUUCUACAGACACAUCCAAUUCUUUUUUUGCUGUGGGUGACUCUCCUUACCACCCCCACUUCAUUAGCAUCUGCUUCCUGUUAAGAACUGACCAGAGCUCCCUUUAUGGCAAAUGGAAACUAUCAUAGGAAGCUACAACUGGACACAAUGCAGAGAUCAAUAGAUUGUGCCUUGCAUCUGUGGCUUGGGGAACAUCACGUAAGAGGGGGCGGAAAGAUUCUUAGAGCCAGAAAACCAACAAGCCUGAUGAAAAACAAUCUCUCCUAGAAAUGGCUGCACACAAGGCCAGAACAACGGUUAUACUAAUAGACAUGCUUAUGUGGAAGGGGGAAAGUUUCACAGGAUUCCACCCUAAGACAAAGGAUUAUUAUAGAUAACUAUAAUAAUUGCUGAGAGAGGGAGAAUUAGCCUCCCCCAGGGGGUCUCCCUUAUUCAUCAUCUAGUAGAAAAUGGUUAUCCCUGAAACUGUAUACUUUUAAAUAAUAAAAUUGGACUCAGC
rnacentral:lncRNA from 1 species